CCCUUCCCCAAUGCCCCUGUUCCUGGCAUCUGGAAAUAAGCAAAGCAAACACAAACAAACAAUGGCUUCUGCUUCAAGUACGAGUGCCCGCACCUUAUUUAUCGAUUCAAAAUUACGAUUAGCCGAUAGAGUUCAAGUUAAUGUCAACAACAUAGCUUCUGUCGCGAGACAAAUCAACAGGGGAUCUAAAUCCAGUGAGACACUUUUUCACACAGCGAAAAACAUGGCACUUCAAGAACACGCAAUGGAAAAUACUGAAGAGAAUUUGAAGAAACUGCAGCAAAACAUGACCUUACUAAACCAGCAAUUCGAGUCUAUACAACGGAAUGCUUUGCUGUUAGAUGAGGUGAAAGAACAAGUUCGAGCUAUGCAACGGUAAUGUUUCAGGUAUGUGCUAGUACCAAGGUGUCUUAGAGUCUGAACAUAAUCAACAAAAGUAAUUGCCACAUCAGCUUUAAGGACAUUCCGCAGGGAGGCUUCAACUUCAAAUCCAAGAAGCACCAAACGAUGAGCAAGGUAAUACUGAUGCAGCUCAUUCUCUUGAGCGACACCUUCCUCUAAAAUUGUACCCACAAGUUCAAGAACUUCAAUGGUUGAUUUGCUGUGGAGACCACAAAGUCAACUCUAAUAUAUCUUCUAACAUAACUAGAGUACACUAAAUAAUUAAUCACUCACCUCACAAAACACGAUGGAAAUUGAAAGAGAUUUGGAUUUAAUUCAUUUUCUGAUUUAAUGUUCACAUUGGCAAAGGACUCUUGUAGUACUGAAUUAUCAAUUAAAGCAUCAGUGUUUGUGUGAUC